rnacentral:rRNA from 1 species
GAACCAACAGGGGUUGCCUCAGUAACGGCGAGUGAAGCGGCAAAAGCUCAAAUUUGAAAUCUGGAGCCUUCGGCUUCCGAGUUGUAAUUUGAAGAGGAUGUUUCGGUUGCGGCUUGGGCCUAAGUUCCUUGGAACAGGACGUCAUGGAGGGUGAGAAUCCCGUAUAUGGCUCCCGGCUUGCUUCCAUGUGAAACUCCUUCGAAGAGUCGAGUUGUUUGGGAAUGCGGCUCAAAAUGGGUGGUAAAUUUCAUCUAAAGCUAAAUAUUGGCGAGAGACCGAUAGCGCACAAGUAGAGUGAUCGAAAGAUGAAAAGCACUUUGAAAAGAGAGUUAAACAGUACGUGAAAUUGUUGAAAGGGAAGCGCUUGCAAUCAGACUCACUUUCAGUUGAUCAACGUUCCUUCUGGUUCGUGCACUCUGCUGUUUGUGGGCCAGCAUCAGUUGGAGCGGUGGGACAAAGGCAGCAGGAAUGUGGCUCUUCGGAGUGUUAUAGCCUGCUGUGUAAUGCCACCUGUUCCGACUGAGGUCCGCGAUUCGUCUAGGAUGCUGGCUUAAUGGUUGUAAGCGACCCGUCUUGAAACACGGACCAAGGAGUCUAACAUCUAUGCGAGUCUUUGGGUGUCAAACCCAUGGGCGAAAUGAAAGUGAACGGAGGUGGGAGUCCUCGGAUGCACCAUCGACCGAUCCUGAUGUUCUCGGAUGGAUUUGAGUAGGAGCAUAGCUGUUGGGACCCGAAAGAUGGUGAACUAUGCCUGAAUAGGGUGAAGCCAGAGGAAACUCUGGUGGAGGCUCGCAGCGGUUCUGACGUGCAAAUCGAUCGUCAAAUUUGGGUAUAGGGGCGAAAGACUAAUCGAACCAUCUAGUAGCU